rnacentral:rRNA from 1 species
UACAGAGGGUGCAAGCGUUAAUCGGAUUUACUGGGCGUAAAGCGUGCGUAGGAGGCUCGUUAAGUCGGUUGUGAAAUCCCUGGGCUCAACCUGGGAAUUGCAGUCGAUACUGGCGGGCUAGAGUUCGGUAGAGGGCGGCAGAAUUCCCGGUGUAGCGGUGAAAUGCGUAGAUAUCGGGAGGAAUACCGAUGGCGAAGGCAACCGCCUGGGCCUGAACUGACUCUGAGGCACGAAAGCGUGGGGAGCAAAC